CGGGGUGGACAAUGAGCUGGAGGGAUGGUGUACCCAUGAGGAUGCUGAGCUGGUCCUUUUCCCCAUGGCUGCAGGGAUCCUUCGAGCUGGGAUUUACGGACUCUGCAAAAUUUGGGGCCGCUCGUGCUGGCUUUGAACCAGACCACGCUGAGCUUGGUGGCUGAGGUAAGCCCCCUCCUCGAGACCUUGGGGCAAGUUGCCCAUCAACCAGGCCAGCCCUGAGGCUGGGGGACCCAGCACCCUCUUCCCCCCUCCCCGGCAGGCAGUGCGGGAGGCUUUUGGCAGGAGCAUCGCAGCCACAUACAGCACCCAGGGACGUUCCCAGAGGGAGAAAUCCCUGACCCUCCUCAGGGCCUUCGCAGCAGCGUCGGCUUCAUCUCACCCCAGGCUGAAGAGGAGCGCAGACAGCUGCCUGUCCGCGCCCGUCACAGCCAGCACCAUCUCUGACUCCCUCUUAGUCCUUGACUACAGCACCAGCGAGCAGCUUGACCUCUGCCUGAGCAAUGAGGUCUUAAAAGCAAACCUGAAGCCUCUGCUGGAUCAGCCGCUCCCCAAGGAGUACCUCCAAGUCAUGAAAAAAAAGCUGGAGCAGGUGAUGGGUGCCACAGGGUGGGAGACUCCACACAGCCCCCCGUUAGCAUGGGCACACUCUGGGACAAGCUGCAGGAAUGGGUAUCACAGAAUCACAGAAUGAUACAGGGUUGGAAGGGACCUCUGGAGAUCAUCUAGUCCAACCCCCCUGCUAAAGCAGGUUGCACAGGAACGUGCCCAGGCAAGGUUUGAAUGUCUCUAGAGGAGACUCCACCACCUCUCUAGGCAGCCUCCUCCAGGGCUCUGCCACUCUCAAAGUAAAGAAGUUCCUCGUCAUAUUUAGGUGGAACUUCUUAUAUUCAAGUUUAUGCCCAUUUCCUCUUGUCCUAUCCCUGGGCACCACUGAAAAAAGACUGGUCCCAUCCUCUUGACACCCUCCCUUUCAGUAUUUAUAAGCAUUGAUCAGAUCCCCCCUCAGCCUUCUCUUCUCCAGACCCAAGUCCCUCAGCCUCUCCUCCUC
rnacentral:lncRNA from 1 species